AAUGUACUGCUUGAUCCGGAAGUUUUGCCGGACUCUUCGACGCAAGCCCUGGUCUCAACGGUGCUGGCAACACUGGUGAAGUACGCCACUGACGAAGCUGAACUGCGCGUUUUGUAUCAGUAUCAGCCGAGGGAUCAGUCGUAUUCCCCAAGGUGUUUCCGGUGAUUCAUUCCUUGCUGGAUCAAAAGUGAACAACGUGCUCUCGGUAUCAAACGAUCAGAUCGUGCUGGCAUCAGUUCAAAGCAUCAUCCAGAAUAUGCUGGCAACCGAAGAUGCAUCCCAGCAGCCUCUUCAUUUCUUGCAGAGUUGUGGCUUUGGAGGCUUAUGGCGAUUCGCAGGGCCGUUCACGAAGUACAACAUGAUGGUCGAAUCGUCGGAGCUGUUCGUCAACUGUUUGGAGGCGAUGGUCGAAACAUGUCUACCGGUGGAAGAGAACACACCGAUGCCCCCGUCGCCGAGACGUACAAUCUUAGCUCCAGCCUGAGCAGCC